UGGAAAAUGAUGAAAGAUUACUAACAACCAGAGAAUAAUGAUGGUGUUAAUCGAGCUUUUUAACCCUGAUUCCAA